UGUGCUAAGGUAGCAUAAUCAUUAACCUUUUAAUUAAAGGCUUGCAUGAAAGGUUAAACAAUUUAAUUCUUUUUUGAUUCAAAAUUAUCUAAAUUUUACUAAAUAUAAAAAUAUAUUUAUAAAAUUAUUAGACGAUAAGACCCUAUUGAACUUUACUAAAGUUAAGCUGGGGCAGCUAAUUAAUUACAAUUUUAAUUUUUAAAUUUAAAUAAAGACCCAAUAUAAUUGAUUAUUUGAAUUAAGUUACCAUAGGGAUAACAGCGUAAUUUAUUUUUAAAGCUCAUAUUAAAAAAAAAGAUUGCGACCUCGAUGUUGAAUUAUUGUUUCAAUUACGCAACAGUAUAAAUUGUGGGUCUGUUCGACCCUUAAAACAAUACAUGAUUUGAGUUCAAAUCGGCGUAAGCCAGAUUGGUUUCUAUCUAUAAUUUUACUUUGUUUAGUACGAAAGGACCCACAAAAUUAUUUUUAAU
rnacentral:rRNA from 1 species